GUUGAUUGUGUGCGGGAAAGUGUAUCGCGUGUCUUCUGGUCGACCUGCUGAAGUCCUCGUUAUCUGAGUGGCCGAGGCGCAGCGAGGAGAAAGAACGAGUUAUCAGCGCGUUAUCAAGGAGUGAAAGUGUGUGGCGCUCGAGAGGGAAGGAAAGGUCGGACGUAGGGGACCGAGCGAUGGACACCCAGAUGAAGUUUCAGACAGACAGGUAAGAUAGCAGAUAGACAGGUAGAGUGACAGACGGGUACACAUUCAAUCAUACAAACUGGCGUAAAGUGGAGAGGAGGAGGGGUGACACGG